rnacentral:rRNA from 1 species
UCGAGAAUCAUUCGCAAUGGGCGAAAGCCUGACGAUGCGACGCCGUGUGGACGAUGAAGGCCUUCGGGUUGUAAAGUCCUUUCGCCAGGGAACAAGAGAGAGUAACUAAUAAUUGCUCAAUUUGAGGGUACCUGGUAAAGAAGCACCGGCUAACUCCGUGCCAGCAGCUGCGGUAAUACGGAGGGUGCAAGCAUUAAUCGGAUUUAUUGGGUGUAAAGAGCAUGUAGGCGGGUAAGCAAGUCAGAUGUGAAAUUUCGAAGCUCAACUUCGAAGCUGCAUUUGAAACUACUUAUCUUGAGGGUAGACGGAGAAAACGGAAUUCCAAGUGUAGCGGUGAAAUGCGUAGAUAUUUGGAAGAACACCGGUGGCGAAAGCGGUUUUCUAGUUUAUUCCUGACGCU